AGUGAACGCUGGCGGUAGGCCUAACACAUGCAAGUCGAACGGCAGCACAGGAGAGCUUGCUCUCUGGGUGGCGAGUGGCGGACGGGUGAGGAAUACAUCGGAAUCUACUUUUUCGUGGGGGAUAACGUAGGGAAACUUACGCUAAUACCGCAUACGACCUACGGGUGAAAGCAGGGGAUCUUCGGACCUUGCGCGAUUGAAUGAGCCGAUGUCGGAUUAGCUAGUUGGCGGGGUAAAGGCCCACCAAGGCGACGAUCCGUAGCUGGUCUGAGGGGAUGAUCAGCCACACUGGAACUGAGACACGGGCCAGACUCCUACGGGAGGCAGCAGUGGGGAAUAUUGGACAAUGGGCGCAGGCCUGAUCCAGCCAUACCGCGUGAGUGAAGAAGGCCUUCGGGUUGUAAAGCCCUUUUGUUGGGAAAGAAAUCCAGCUGGUUAAUACCCGGUUGGGAUGACGGUACCCAAAGAAUAAGCACCGGCUAACUUCGUGCCAGCCGCCGCAGUAA
rnacentral:rRNA from 1 species